rnacentral:rRNA from 1 species
GCAGCACGGGAGCUUGCUCCUGGUGGCGAGUGGCGAACGGGUGAGUAACGCAUCGGAACAUGCCUAGUCGUGGGGGAUACCGUAGCGAAAGUUACGUUAAUACCGCAUACGUCCUGAGGGAGAAAGCAGGGGAUUCGCAAGAACCUUGCGCGAUUAGAGUGGCCGAUGCCUGAUUAGCUUGUUGGUGAGGUAAUGGCUCACCAAGGCGACGAUCAGUAGCGGGUCUGAGAGGAUGAUCCGCCACACUGGAACUGAGACACGGUCCAGACUCCUACGGGAGGCAGCAGUGGGGAAUUUUGGACAAUGGGGGCAACCCUGAUCCAGCCAUUCCGCGUGAGUGAAGAAGGCCUUCGGGUUGUAAAGCUCUUUCAGCUGGAACGAAACGGUGCGCUCUAACAUAGCGUAUUAAUGACGGUACCAGCAGAAGAAGCACCGGCUAACUACGUGCCAGCAGCCGCGGUAAUACGUAGGGUGCGAGCGUUAAUCGGAAUUACUGGGCGUAAAGCGUGCGCAGGCGGAUUGUUAAGCAAGAUGUGAAAUCCCCGGGCUUAACCUGGGAAUGGCAUUUUGAACUGGCAAUCUAGAGUGUGUCAGAGGGGGGUAGAAUUCCACGUGUAGCAGUGAAAUGCGUAGAGAUGUGGAGGAAUACCGAUGGCGAAGGCAGCCCCCUGGGAUAACACUGACGCUCAUGUACGAAAGCGUGGGUAGCAAACAGGAUUAGAUACCCUGGUAGUCCACGCCCUAAACGAUGUCAACUGGUUGUUGGGAGAGUGAAAUCUCUUAGUAACGAAGCUAACGCGUGAAGUUGACCGCCUGGGGAGUACGGUCGCAAGAUUAAAACUCAAAGGANNUGACGGGGACCCGCACAAGCGGUGGAUGAUGUGGAUUAAUUCGAUGCAACGCGAAAAACCUUACCUACCCUUGACAUGUCCAGAAUCCUGCANANAUGUGGGANUGCCCGAAAGGGNAAUUNGNNCACAGGUGCUGCAUGGGCUGUCGUCAGCUCGUGNCGUGAGAU